CCUACGGGGUGCAGCAGUGGGGAAUAUUGGGCAAUGGGCGCAAGCCUGACCCAGCAACGCCGCGUGAAGGAAGAAGGCUUUCGGGUUGUAAACUUCUUUUGUCAGGGACGAAGCAAGUGACGGUACCUGACGAAUAAGCCACGGCUAACUACGUGCCAGCAGCCGCGGUAAUACGUAGGUGGCAAGCGUUAUCCGGAGUUACUGGGUGGAAAGGGCGUGUAGGCGGGACUGCAAGUCAGAUGUGAAAACCACGGGCUCAACCUGUGGCCUGCAUUUGAUACUGUAGUUCUUGAGUACUGGAGAGGCAGACGGAAUGCCUAGUGUAGCGGUGAAAUGCGUAGAUAUUAGGAGGAACACCAGUGGCGAAGGCGGUCUGCUGGACAGCAACUGACGCUGAGGCGCGAAAGCGAGGGGAGCAAACAGGAUUAGAUACCCGAGUAGUC
rnacentral:rRNA from 1 species